CCUACGGGCGGCUGCAGUGAGGAAUAUUGGUCAAUGGCCGGAAGGCUGAACCAGCCAUGCCGCGUGAAGGUCAGUGCCCUAUGGGCGUUAAACUUCUUUUGUGCGGGAGCAAUAAUGGUCACGUGUGGCCAGACGAGAGUACCGUACGAAUAAGCAUCGGCUAACUCCGUGCCAGCAGCCGCGGUAAUACGGGGGAUGCAAGCGUUAUCCGGAGUUAUUGGGUUUAAAGGGUGCGUAGGCUGUGAGGUAAGUCAGCGGUGAAAUGCCCCCGCUCAACGGGGUGAAGUGCCAUUGAUACUGCCUGGCUGGAAUGCGGAUGCCGUGGGAGGAAUGUGUGGUGUAGCGGUGAAAUGCAUAGAUAUCACACAGAACACCGAUUGUGAAGGCAUCUCACGAAUCCGCGAUUGACGCUGAUGCACGAAAGCGUGGGUAUCAAACAGGAUUAGAUACCCCAGUAGUC
rnacentral:rRNA from 1 species